GUGCCAGCCGCCGCGGUAAUACCGGCAGCCCAAGUGAUGGCCACUCUUAUUGGGCCUAAAGCGUCCGUAGCCGGCCUCGCAAGUCCGUCGGGAAAUCCAGUAGCUCAACCACUGGGCGUCCGGCGGAAACUACAAGGCUUGGGACCGGAAGGCUCGAGGGGUACGUUCGGGGUAGGAGUGAAAUCCCGUAAUCCCGCACGGACCACCGAUGGCGAAAGCACUUCGAGAAAACGGAUCCGACAGUGAGGGACGAAAGCCAGGGUCUCCAACCGGAUUAGAUACCCUAGUAGUCC
rnacentral:rRNA from 1 species